UGUAGCAGAGUCAACCUUUGUGGUUAGAGGAGAGAGUAGUCAGAAGAACAUCGGAAUAAGAGUGAAGCAGCUAGGUUAUGCUUCAUGACGCGCCCAUCUAACGCUGAUUCCAUUCAUCUAAUGUGAUAACCAUUGAUUUAAGUUACAUAAAAAAUGAGAUUCUUUUUGCAAGUUAGGUCAGAGUUUGCUCUCAGCUGGGUUUUCUUCAUCUGGUUCACUUCAGUAGUCAGCAGCAAAGAUGUUAUUCAUCCCUCCAACAAUUCAUCCUCGCGUCGGUUAAUAAGAGCUGUGGCGCUGCAGACCAGUCCCCAGGUGUGGCACAGUGUGGUAAAAAUGUGACUCUGACAUGUGAUGCCACCUCAUCAAGCAGCUUUUCAGUUGUAAAAUUCGCCUGGCUGACUCCAAAAUCAAACCUGUGCCAACUUCGAGAUGGAAAAGUUACAAGUCACGUUUUGUGUGAAAGCAAGGCGGAGACCUUGAAGCACAGCCUCAUGCUGACCCUCACCAACAUAACGCCAGCUGACCAGGGAAAUUACACCUGCAAACUGCACUCUGAUAUUGGAGCAGAGCAUAACACAUCUGUUGUGACAGUGCAAGAAUGCCGUGGAAGUUCAGCGGGAUACAUGAAUGACUCUCAAGCCGAGUGCCGGUUCUAUGGCGUUUACCCCACAGGGACGGUCCACUGGUUCCAGGAUGGUGCUAACCUGACAGGCUCUGCCAAAACACACAUACAGGAGGACCAGAAUAGACUGUUCAAUGUGAAGAGCACUAUACAGAUAUGGCCUGGAAAUAAGACUCAGCUUUACAACUGCUCGCUGUGGAUCCCCUCUAUGAGGAAGUACCUCUCCAGUACAGUGGUUACAGUGGAAAAAUCAAGCUAUAUCCAGUCAUCAGGAAGCAUGAUCAAACUGCAGUGGAUCAUGGUGGGAACCCUCAUGAUAAAAUUCAUCAUGUAAAGUAGCUGCACAAAUAACCCAGGAGAAAUUCACCAUUUUCAAAGGCAUGUUCAUAUUUGAAAUCAGAGAGCUUUACAUGAACCAGUGAAAAAUGGACAUAUUUGGUUUAUCUAUCUGUCUGUUGUUAACAAGCAGCUACUGUGUGUAAAUGUUGUGCAAUGCCACCAUCAAGUGGGGAAGUGUGAUCAUGAAGGUCAAACUGUAAAUAUGACAGCAAGGAUGGGCACACAUUUGCCCUGGAGCCCCAAGAGCAUGCAGGUUCUAAUAAAAACCAACAAAUUCACCAUAGGUGGCUGCUGCGAUAAGCACAACUCCCAACACAAAGGAGGAACUAAUCUGUGAAAUCAGCUUAUCUAAACUUCAGCCGGAAAACCUGCAAACUCCCAGCACCCCACAGUGUCAGACAUCUUUUCCACACUUUCCCACUUGAUGGCAGCACAGCACUCAUAAAAGAUAGAAAUAGAAAUAGAUAUACUUUAUUGAUCCCAGCAGGGAAAUUCUGGUG